GACGAACGCUGGCGGCGUGCCUAAUACAUGCAAGUCGAGCGGACCAAACAGGAGCUUGCUCUUGUUUGGUUAGCGGCGGACGGGUGAGUAACACGUGGGUAACCUGCCCGUAAGACCGGGAUAACUCCGGGAAACCGGAGCUAAUACCGGAUAACACCGAAGACCGCAUGGUCUUUGGUUGAAAGGCGGCUUCGGCUGCCACUUACGGAUGGGCCCGCGGCGCAUUAGCUAGUUGGUGAGGUAACGGCUCCCCAAGGCGACGAUGCGUAGCCGGCCUGAGAGGGUGACCGGCCACACUGGGACUGAGACACGGCCCAGACUCCUACGGGAGGCAGCAGUAGGGAAUCUUCCGCAAUGGACGAAAGUCUGACGGAGCGACGCCGCGUGAGCGAAGAAGGUCUUCGGAUCGUAAAGCUCUGUUGUUAGGGAAGAAGAAGCGCCGUUCGAACAGGGCGGCGCGGUGACGGUACCUAACGAGAAAGCCCCGGCUAACUACGUG
rnacentral:rRNA from 1 species